rnacentral:lncRNA from 1 species
GGGAUAAUUAAUUACAUUAAAUACAUAAUAUAUUUUAAAAAUUCUCUUAAGGCUAACUUUUAUGGAAGUUGAGUAAAGAUUGUUUCAUCUUUCUUUUAUGCUUGUAUUAAAAAUAUUUGUGUUAAAAAGUUCAUUUAUGGGAUCCUGGAGAAAUUGCUAUUCUUCUAUUGUAAUGGAUUCGGUGAUCGGAGAUAUGGCUUUCCCUAGAAGGGGUAUUGGAUGCUCAACCAAGAAGGUACAACGUAGGCUGACGGAGCCGCUUGAUCCAGAUGACCUUGUGGUGGAUGACAAGGGUAUGAAAGUGAACCCUACUAAUACUGCACCAAUUUCAUGGAAAGAUAAGUUAAUGGGCGAUAUGGCUAAUGUGAUGAAUACCCAAAAGGAUGAAAAUUUUGAUCUACAAAAGGGAGAAGCUAAAAAUGAGAUUGUUGAUGGCAUUCCUUCUAUCACUUUCUCUGAAAGAGUGUACCAGUUAUCGCAAAACGUAUGUCUAAGAGGGUAAUUGUUAAGUUGCUUAGUAGGAGAAUUUCAUAUCUCACAAUGUAUAGCAAACUGAAGGCAAUCGAGAAGGCGAAUGAUUCAUUGUAAAUUCUUGAUUUGGAAAGCGACUAUUUUUAGUCAAAUUUCAUGAUGAGGAAGAGUACCUUGUUGCUUUGUUGGGAGGACCCUGGACAAUUUUUGGAAACUAUCUCACUGUGAGUCCAUGGACACCGGCUUUCUCGAUAGAUUAAAUUCAACUCGAAAACCUAUUGGUCUAGAUUAGGUUACUGGGGAUGUCAUGCGGCAUGUACACAAAAAUUCUUCUCAAGUUUAUUGGAAGUGCAAUCAGGCUGGUGGUGAAGAUCGACCGAAACACUGAAAAUAAUUCCAAAAGUCAAUUUGUUAACCUGCCAGUCAAUGUUGAUUAAGGGGAGCCAUUGAUCUCUAAGGUUAAAAUCGAUGGGAAAAUGUAGAGGGUCAAAUAUGAAUCCUUACCCAUGGUUUUUUUUAUUGUGGGAAAUUUUGGCACUACCAAGAAAUUUGUUCACAUAAAAUGGGUUAAGGAGUUACAUUGGAGAUGGAGGAAGAUCAUUCGUGUGUUGAUGAAUCUAGGAUGUAAGGGAAAGUAGAGAAGGAGCAAUUUUGCCCUUGGAUGCUUGUCGACCGCAGACAGAGGAGGAAACCCCGGGCAACAGAGAAACCUAUCGAUGACUUGUAUAGCGGGGUGGUAGG